rfam:Peptostreptococcaceae bacterium AS15 ctg120005099220, whole genome shotgun sequence.
UAUGGUUAUAACAGAGAAGAGGAUACACCUGUUCCCAUACCGAACACAGAAGUUAAGCUCUUCAUCGCUGAUGGUACUUAGACCGAAGGGUCUUGGGAGAGUAGGUCAUAGCCAAUU